rnacentral:tRNA from 1 species
GCUUUAAUAGUAUAACCAUUACCCUGGUCUUGUAAACCAAAAAUGAGGACUCUGAUUCUUCUUAAAGCAUU